rnacentral:tRNA from 1 species
GCCCCUUUAGCUCAGUGGUAGAGCGUUUGACUUGUAAUCAAAAGGUCGAUAGUUCAAUCCUGUCAGGGGGCA